rnacentral:rRNA from 1 species
GAGUCUAGCAUGUGCGCGAGUCAUUGGGACUCUAAUGAAACCUAAAGGCGCAAUGAAAGUGAAGGUCCGCCUAGCGCGGACCGAGGGAGGAUGGGUGGUCCCUCGGGACCGCCUCGCACUCCCGGGGCGUCUCGUUCUCAUCGCGAGAAGAGGCGCACCCAGAGCGUACACGCUGGGACCCGAAAGAUGGUGAACUAUGCCUGGUCAGGACGAAGUCAGGGGAAACCCUGAUGGAGGUCCGUAGCGAUUCUGACGUGCAAAUCGAUCGUCGGAACUGGGUAUAGGGGCGAAAGACUAAUCGAACCAUCUAGUAGCUGGUUCCCUCCGAAGUUUCCCUCAGGAUAGCUGGCGCUCGCUUCUCGCGAGUCUCAUUCGGUAAAGCGAAUGAUUAGAGGCAUUGGGGUCGAAACGGCCUCAACCUAUUCUCAAACUUUAAAUGGGUGAGAUCUCCGGCUUGCUUGAACUGUGAAGCCGCGAGAUAUCGGAUCAGAGUGCCAAGUGGGCCACUUUUGGUAAGCAGAACUGGCGCUGUGGGAUGAACCAAACGCCGAGUUAAAGCGCCUAAAUCGACGCUUAUGGGAUACCAUGAAAGGCGUUGGUAACUUAAGACAGCAGGACGGUGGCCAUGGAAGUCGGA